rnacentral:rRNA from 1 species
UACGUAGGGUGCAAGCGUUAAUCGGAAUUACUGGGCGUAAAGCGUGCGCAGGCGGUUUUUCAAGACAGAUGUGAAAUCCCCGGGCUUGACCUGGGAAUGGCAUUUGUGACUGGAAGGCUAGAGUGUGUCAGAGGGGGGUAGAAUUCCACGUGUAGCAGUGAAAUGCGUAGAGAUGUGGAGGAAUACCGAUGGCGAAGGCAGCCCCCUGGGAUAACACUGACGCUCAUGCACGAAAGCGUGGGGAGCAAACAGG